UUCAAUGCGCUGAACUUCUGCCCUUGGCAAGUGUGAGAUGAGAGCAUAUUACCUCUGUGACACCCUCAGAUAAUGAGUAUGGAGAACUGGAAGAUGGAUGGUGUUGGUGAUCCUUGCUACAUUAAUUCCACAAACAUGAGGUGACUUCUACCAGUUUGUGCACCCCUCAAGAAAUGGAAAUUGUACAUUGCAGGGAUUGAUGCUCUGUACUUGAAUACUGAUUCAUAAGGAAGUCUUGCUUUCUGGGGACCCAAACUAGUGUCAGUUUUAUUCUGGGAAUAAGUGACCCCAAUUAUCUUCUUUGCCUUCAUGGAAGAUUCUUAAAGAACAAGCCAUUGAA